GCGCCCGUAGCUCAAUGGAUAGAGCGUCUGACUACGGAUCAGAAGGUUAGGGGUUCGAGUCCCUUCGGGCGCG
rnacentral:tRNA from 1 species